rnacentral:rRNA from 1 species
GUGAGGAAUCUUCCACAAUGGGCGAAAGCCUGAUGGAGCAACGCCGCGUGCAGGAUGAAGGCCUUCGGGUCGUAAACUGCUUUUAUAAGUGAAGAAUAUGACGGUAACUUAUGAAUAAGCACCGGCUAACUACGUGCCAGCAGCCGCGGUCAUACGUAGGGUGCAAGCAUUAUCCGGAGUGACUGGGCGUAAAGAGUUGCGUAGGUGGUUUGUUAAGCGAGUAGUGAAAUCAGGCGGCUCAACCGUUCUGGCUAUUACUCGAACUGGCAAACUCGAGAGUGGUAGAGGUAACUGGAAUUUCUUGUGUAGGAGUGAAAUCCGUAGAUAUAAGAAGGAACACCAAUGGCGUAGGCAGGUUACUGGACCAUUUCUGACACUAAGGCACGAAAGCGUGGGGAGCGAACGGG